rnacentral:rRNA from 1 species
AGGAUGAACGCUGGCGGCGUGCCUAACACAUGCAAGUCGAACGUCCUGUCUCGCAAGAGGCAGGGAGUGGCGGACGGGUGAGUACCACGUGGGUCAUCUACCGUGAGGUGAGGAAUACCGGCGAGAAAUCGCCGACAAGACCGCAUAGCCUCGGUGCAAGUCGAGGAAAGCUCUCUCGAGAGAGGGAGCGCCACACGAGGAGCCUGCGCCCGAUUAGCUAGCUGGUGGAGUAAUGGUUCACCAGGGCGACGAUCGGUAGCUGGUCUGAGAGGACGAUCAGCCACACUGGGAUUGAGAACGGCCCAGACUCCUACGGGGGGCAGCAGUGAGGAAUUUUCGUCAAUGGGGGCAACCCUGAACGAGCAACGCCGCGUGCAGGAAGAAGGUUUUCGGAUCGUAAACUGCUUUUCUCGGGAAGAGAACGGACGGUACCCGAGGAAUCAGCCCGGCUAACUACGUGCCAGCAGCCGCGGU